ensembl:rRNA 5S_rRNA 5S ribosomal RNA
CAUUGCUUCCACACAACCUCAGGCUAUGAUCCCAUCAGACAUCACAAAGCUCAGCAAGGUCAGGUCUUGUCAGUGUUUAGAUGGGAGACUCCCAAGGAAAACUCAAGUGUUGCAGAGG